UAGACCGUGCAGUACGCGGCGAGGCUAAG
rnacentral:sRNA from 1 species